rnacentral:rRNA from 1 species
UGGUCAAGUUAUUAAGGGUGCAGGGCGGAUGCCUUGGCACUAGGAGCCGAUGAAGGACGUGAUAAGCUGCGAUAAGCUUCGGGGAGUUGCACGUAAACUUUGAUCCGAAGAUUUCCGAAUGAGGAAACUCACUUAGAGUAAUGUCUAAGUAUCAUUAAGUGAAUACAUAGCUUAAUGAGGGGAACUCAGGGAACUGAAACAUCUAAGUACCUGAAGGAAGAGAAAGAAAUUCGAUUCCGUAAGUAGCGGCGAGCGAACGCGGAUUAGCCCAAACCAAUAAAGUUUUCUUUAUUGGGGUUGCGGACAUAUCAUAACGAAGAGGUAUCGUAAUUGAAGAGGUUUGGAAAGACCCACCACAGAAGG